UCGAGUGCCUCUUAAGAUUCAAAGCAGUC
rnacentral:piRNA from 1 species